rnacentral:rRNA from 1 species
UACGGAGGGGGCUAGCGUUGUUCGGAAUUACUGGGCGUAAAGCGCACGUAGGUGGCCAACUAAGUCAGACGUGAAAUCCCUCGGCUUAACCGGGGAACUGCGUCUGAUACUGGAUGGCUAGAGAUUGGGAGAGGGAUGCGGAAUUCCAGGUGUAGCGGUGAAAUGCGUAGAUAUCUGGAGGAACACCGGUGGCGAAGGCGGCAUCCUGGACCGGCAUUGACGCUGAGGCGCGAAAGCCAGGGGAGCAAACGGG